AGCUUUGCUUUUCCAUGAUCAAGCUGCUAGAGAUUUUGGGGUUAGGGAGCGAAAUGAAGGCUAAAUAAAAGAACAGGAGAUAAGAUAAUCCUGCCAUGUUAAAAGGGAGAAAUCUGAACAAAGACACACGGAGAGGAUGCUGUGCGACAAUGGAAGCAGAGAUUGGAGUGAUACACCUACAAACAAAGGAAUCCGAAAGACUGCUGGCAACUGCCAGAGACUAGGACAGAGGGAUGGUACAGAUUCUCCCUCAGUGCCUCCAGAAGAAACCAAUCCUGCCGAAACCUUGAUUUUGGACUUUCAGCUUCCAGAAACAGAAUUUUGAAAUUGCCUGGUGGACUGGAAAUGAAGCAAAACACAGAAAAAGCUGAAAUGAAAGAUGGAGAGUGCUUAAGGGUUUCUAGUACUGGCUUCCAUGCCCAGCUGCAUCACUGCCCCUUGAGCUUCCUGUGACAUCCCAACAAACUUGCGCUUGCAGCUCCCGCUGUGCUUUAAAUCACUCCAGUUGAUGUGGUGAACAGAAAUGAGUCCAAAUGACACUAGUCCUACCCCACAACUUUCGCAACUUUACUGCUAAAAAUUAACUCAAGUGCCUUUUGGCAAAUGGAAUAUACGCUGCUGAUUCUGAUAUUGUAAUCUUUAGUGACCUAUGACAUGGUUCCAUCACCGAGCUGAGGAGAAACAAACAAAACAAAAAACCCUACAUCCAUUUUUUGGUUGUUGUUGGAUACCAGAAAAGUCUCAUACAUCCUCCUUACAAUUUUUUAAAUUCCAGGUUAAACAGCUAUUACUAUUUACUUGUGAGAGUAUCAGUUAGGACUCUUUUAUGUCAAAAGUUAAUAGAAAAUCCAACUUGAGCUAGUUCACCUAAAUGGAAUGCUCACAUUAUUGGAAACCACAGAGGUAGGGCAGGCUUCAAGAAUGAUUGAUUCGGCAGCUCAAAGCUGUCAUCAGCGACCGAGUUUCUUUGUUUCUCCCUUUCUGCCAUCUGGUGUCAGUUCUGUCCUCAUGGUCACAGGAUGGGUGCCAGCUACAAACAGAGUGCAGCCCAGUCUAGCAUCCCAAACGAGAGUCAUAAAAGUCACUCAAUUGGCCCAGCAUAGGUCAGAUUCCCAUUCCUAAAAGAAUAAUGUGGCUAAAUAAAUGAAAUGCACUAAUUGACCUAUCAAUCAAAGCCCACUCCAGGGGCUAGACUGUGAUCCAUUUUACUAGACACACAUAGGUUGCACUGGCCAGGGGAGAUACCCAAACAAAGAUCAGAUAAUUUUUGGAAGAGAAACAUGUGGCAAAGUAUGCUAGGUAGACAACUAAUAAAUGUCUACCACACUUGGUUCUUCCAUGUGUUACUAGAAAAUAACAAAAAUUCCACUUUAUUUUGUAACCAUUACAGUGAUAAUUAGUUCAGGCAAGAAUCAUCAUGCUAAACUGGUGAAUGAGAGCUUAAUGAGGAAGAAGAUAUUUAUAUAGUCUCAAAUUAUAUCCCCACAAAAUGACUCAACUAACGUUAAAGUAAAAACAUAGUAACUUUACUAUGAGAAAACCUGGUAGAGAUCACCUUAACCAAGUGAUUGAAGUUAACAUCAGCUGUAAACAUCAUAAGCCUCCUGAUAAACUGCACUGAGAAGGACACAACAUCACUUUAUAGUACAUUUCGCCAAAGAUGCAUAACAUGAAUCUAAUCCUAAGAAAACAUCAGACAAACUCAAUUAAGGGGCAUUCUACAAAAUAACUGACCUGUACUUUUCAGCUGUGUCACUGACGUGAAAGACACAGAAAGGCUAAGGAACCAUUACAAAUUAAUGGAGACAAGUGAAAACUAAAGGUACUGUGUAAUUCUGGAUCAAAAACAUAAUUGCUAUGAAGGACAGUAUGUCUAUACCAUAGAUAGUAGUACUGCAUCAAUGUUAAAUGGUUUUGAAAAUUGUACUGUGGUCAUGUAGUGAAUGUCUUUGUCCUCAGUAAAUAUAUACUGAAGUGUUUAAUAAAGGAGUAUGAAGUGUGCAACACACUCUCAAAUAGCUUGAGGAAAAAAAUGUGUAUACACACACACACACACACACACACAAUCACACACAUACAGAAAAACUGUAAAGGCAAAUGUGGCAAAAGGUUAAUAACUGGUGAAUAUGCGUGAAAGGUAUAUGGUAGUUCUUUGUACUAAAUUUUGUAACUUUUCUUUAAGUUUGAAAUUAUUUCAAAAUAAAAAGUUUUUU
rnacentral:antisense_RNA from 1 species